UACGGAGGAUGCAAGCGUUAUCCGGAAUGAUUGGGCGUAAAGCGUCCGCAGGUGGCUAUGUAAGUCUGCUGUUAAAGAGUCUAGCUCAACUAGAUAAGAGCAGUGGAAACUACAAGGCUAGAGUACGUUCGGGGCAGAGGGAAUUCCUGGUGUAGCGGUGAAAUGCGUAGAUAUCGGGAGGAACACCAGUGGCGAAGGCGACUUCCUGGCCUGUUCUUGACGCUGAGGCGCGAAAGCUAGGGUAGCAAACGGG
rnacentral:rRNA from 1 species